GAUCCUGGCUCAGGAUGAACGCUAGCUACAGGCUUAACACAUGCAAGUCGAGGGGCAGCAUGAACUUAGCUUGCUAAGUUUGAUGGCGACCGGCGCACGGGUGAGUAACACGUAUCCAACCUUCCGUUUACUCAGGGAUAGCCUUUCGAAAGAAAGAUUAAUACCUGAUAGUAUGGUGAGAUUGCAUGAUAACACCAUUAAAGAUUUAUUGGUAAACGAUGGGGAUGCGUUCCAUUAAG
rnacentral:rRNA from 1 species